AGCGAACGCUGGCGGCAGGCUUAACACAUGCAAGUCGAACGGGCAUAGCAAUAUGUCAGUGGCAGACGGGUGAGUAACGCGUGGGAACGUACCUUUUGGUUCGGAACAACACAGGGAAACUUGUGCUAAUACCGGAUAAGCCCUUACGGGGAAAGAUUUAUCGCCGAAAGAUCGGCCCGCGUCUGAUUAGCUAGUUGGUAGGGUAAUGGCCUACCAAGGCGACGAUCAGUAGCUGGUCUGAGAGGAUGAUCAGCCACAUUGGGACUGAGACACGGCCCAAACUCCUACGGGAGGCAGCAGUGGGGAAUAUUGGACAAUGGGCGAAAGCCUGAUCCAGCCAUGCCGCGUGAGUGAUGAAGGCCCUAGGGUUGUAUAGCUCUUUUGUGCGGGAAGAUAAUGACGGUACCGCAAGAAUAAGCCCCGGCUAACUUCGUG
rnacentral:rRNA from 1 species